UGGUUUUUUUUUUUUUUUUUUGUCUGCUUCUGCUUGCUCUUGCUGGCAACUUCAUUCGUUUACUGGCAUUAGAGCCUACUUUUUCAGGACUCCAGCAUAUACUGAAAACCAGCUGAGCACCCAGCCUCUUGGAUUGAACAACUACUGGAUUCUUGGACUUUCUAUUUGGCAAGGGUUAACAAGAUCUUUGGAACUCUGCUUUUCCAUGGCAUGCAGAAGAAUGACCCAAAAGACAGAGUGCCACUGUUCACUCAUUUCAGAUGGACUAUCUUGGACCCAAAGCUGGGGCAGAGGCCAAGAAUUACAGAGCAGCAAAGCAGACACGGCCUGAGUCCUGGAAAAGGGUGCUUUGACUCAGAAUGACACAAUUCUGGAAAUCCCCUAUUUUAUUCUGCUUGCAGCAGAAGAUGGAGGCUCCUGUCCCUUGAGCAGGGGAACUCGGCUUCUUACAAAGAGGUGGCUGCCUGGGAAAUCUCCACACUUACUGGGGGAACAGAGAAAUCAACUGGCAGACCAUCUCCCUUGCUCAGGCACCACGAUCUUACUUUAAGGAGGCCAAAGCUCACUUGCGACUUCAGCAAUGGAUAUUUCUUGUAAUUUUAGAGAAUGUAAUGUAUUUUUUGCUAAAGGUCUCUGAGGUUAUAAAUUUCUCCAGCAUCCGAGAAUACGUAUCAGGGUUUUCUCUACUUACUUGGUCCCCUGUGGAAGUCUGCCUAUUCCAGGUAGUGAGACAGAUAGACCUGCACUUGUCAAGUUCUGAUUAUUCUGCUGCAUAGUACAAUACAUGGAUUAUCAGAUGAGAGACCCAUGUGCAGGAGGUGCAAACGACAGCAGGACCACUGUCUGAACAUUUGAUGCACCAGUGGGCUUGCCCUAAGCAUGCCACAUAUGCAUCUUGGAGACACAGCCAUGUAAAACUAUGAUGAACUCUACUGCAUAAAUGAACUGGAAGAGACUUGCAGAAGUCCAGAGUCAAAGAAGCUUGUCGCAUAGGCUGGGCUGAGCAUGCAUACCUCUGCUGACUCCAUGUUAUAGCUAUCAUCCUUGCAUGUUCGGACAACCUCAAUCAAACCUCAGUGUUGGUUGUCUGUGUUGGUCUGCCGCUUUGGAGAUACUAGGAGAACAGGAGAGAGCCAUUCACUUCUGGAUCUUAGAUGCUACCUCUAGAGAUUUUGGCAUUUCAAAGGUAGGAAGCUUAACAUACUGUCUGGGCUCAAUCCCAAGGUUAUGGUAGCAUUGCUGUAAAUAAGUUCCUUAAAUUGAUCACCAUAUAUAAAAUAAAGCUAUCAAUAGUGCCUCCCUACAGGGUUGUUAUAAAAAGUAAUGAAUAGAUACUUAGGAAAUGCCAAUAUCUGAUGCUGUUAUUCAAUUGACUUCAAGAGGGGAAAGGCUCAAAGUGGCAAAGUAGAGCACCAUGUCAAAGCUGUAGGAGAUGGCUUCACGUCUGCCGAGUAUGUUCUAAGUAGCACUGGACAAGUUCUUGAUGUAGCUUGGAGGACUGGCACUGUCACCUACUCAUGAAUGAUGGACUCGGUCCUACAGUCUAUGUAGGGGUACAAUGGUUUGCUUAUGUGCCUAAAUAAAACAGAAGGGCUCACCUGUACUAACUCAUGUGCCAUAUUUUGUAUGUAACAGUGAGCAUUCUUGCUAUUAAAUGAGUGUUAAAGGUGGAGGAGAGGCUUAAAGCUGAGUGUCCUGUCAGGCUUUCUAUAGAACACAUAUUGCAAUUUCUCCCAUUCUUUCCCUCCCCCUCCCCCUGCUUUGUCAUGCCUUCUUUAUUUUUUAUUGUCAAUUAGUAAAUAACAAUAACCACCUUUACUAUUAUUAUUAUGUAGACUAGUUAUGCAGCCCAUGCUGGGCUUUAGCUUCUGCCUCAGCUCUGUGAUGGCUAAAGAAACUUCAUCUUAUGUUAGACAUCCAU